rnacentral:rRNA from 1 species
UACGUAGGUGGCAAGCGUUGUCCGGAUUUAUUGGGCUUAAAGGGUGCGUAGGCGGCCCUGUAAGUCAGUGCUGAAAUAUCCCGGCUUAACCGGGAGGGUGGCAUUGAUACUGCAGGGCUUGAGUAAAGUUGAGGUAGGCGGAAUUGACGGUGUAGCGGUGAAAUGCUUAGAUAUCGUCAAGAACACCGAUAGUGUAGACAGCUUACUAAGCUUUAACUGACGCUGAGGCACGAAAGUGUGGGGAGCAAACAGG